UACGUAGGGGGCAAGCGUUGUCCGGAAUCAUUGGGCGUAAAGAGCGUGUAGGCGGUUCGGUAAGUCGGCUGUGAAAGUCAAGGGCUCAACCCUUGAAUGCCGGCCGAUACUGUCAGGCUAGAGUCCGGAAGAGGCGAGUGGAAUUCCUGGUGUAGCGGUGAAAUGCGCAGAUAUCAGGAGGAACACCUAUGGCGAAGGCAGCUCGCUGGGACGGUACUGACGCUGAGACGCGAAAGCGUGGGGAGCGAACAGG
rnacentral:rRNA from 1 species